GAGGCGAACCGGGGGAACUGAAACAUCUAAGUACCCCGAGGAAAAGAAAUCAACCGAGAUUCCCCCAGUAGCGGCGAGCGAACGGGGAGGAGCCCAGAGCCUGAAUCAGUGUGUGUGUUAGUGGAAGCGUCUGGAAAGGCGCGCGAUACAGGGUGACAGCCCCGUACACAAAAAUGCACAUACUGUGAGCUCGAUGAGUAGGGCGGGACACGUGGUAUCCUGUCUGAAUAUGGGGGGACCAUCCUCCAAGGCUAAAUACUCCUGACUGACCGAUAGUGAACCAGUACCGUGAGGGAAAGGCGAAAAGAACCCCGGCGAGGGGAGUGAAAAAGAACCUGAAACCGUGUACGUACAAGCAGUGGGAGCCUCUUAAUGGGGUGACUGCGUACCUUUUGUAUAAUGGGUCAGCGACUUAUAUUCUGUAGCAAGGUUAACCGAAUAGGGGAGCCGAAGGGAAACCGAGUCUUAACUGGGCGUUAAGUUGCAGGGUAUAGACCCGAAACCCGGUGAUCUAGCCAUGGGCAGGUUGAAGGUUGGGUAACACUAACUGGAGGACCGAACCGACUAAUGUUGAAAAAUUAGCGGAUGACUUGUGGCUGGGGGUGAAAGGCCAAUCAAACCGGGAGAUAGCUGGUUCUCCCCGAAAGCUAUUUAGGUAGCGCCUCGUGAAUUCAUCUCCGGGGGUAGAGCACUGUUUCGGCAAGGGGGUCAUCCCGACUUACCAACCCGAUGCAAACUGCGAAUACCGGAGAAUGUUAUCACGGGAGACACACGGCGGGUGCUAACGUCCGUCGUGAAGAGGGAAACAACCCAGACCGCCAGCUAAGGUCCCAAAGUCAUGGUUAAGUGGGAAACGAUGUGGGAAGGCCCAGACAGCCAGGAUGUUGGCUUAGAAGCAGCCAUCAUUUAAAGAAAGCGUAAUAGCUCACUGGUCGAGUCGGCCUGCGCGGAAGAUGUAACGGGGCUAAACCAUGCACCGAAGCUGCGGCAGCGACACUAUGUGUUGUUGGGUAGGGGAGCGUUCUGUAAGCCUGUGAAGGUGUACUGUGAGGUAUGCUGGAGGUAUCAGAAGUGCGAAUGCUGACAUAAGUAACGAUAAAGCGGGUGAAAAGCCCGCUCGCCGGAAGACCAAGGGUUCCUGUCCAACGUUAAUCGGGGCAGGGUGAGUCGACCCCUAAGGCGAGGCCGAAAGGCGUAGUCGAUGGGAAACAGGUUAAUAUUCCUGUACUUGGUGUUACUGCGAAGGGGGGACGGAGAAGGCUAUGUUGGCCGGGCGACGGUUGUCCCGGUUUAAGCGUGUAGGCUGGUUUUCCAGGCAAAUCCGGAAAAUCAAGGCUGAGGCGUGAUGACGAGGCACUACGGUGCUGAAGCGACAAAUGCCCUGCUUCCAGGAAAAGCCUCUAAGCAUCAGGUAACAUCAAAUCGUACCCCAAACCGACACAGGUGGUCAGGUAGAGAAUACCAAGGCGCUUGAGAGAACUCGGGUGAAGGAACUAGGCAAAAUGGUGCCGUAACUUCGGGAGAAGGCACGCUGAUAUGUAGGUGAAGCGACUUGCUCGUGGAGCUGAAAUCAGUCGAAGAUACCAGCUGGCUGCAACUGUUUAUUAAAAACACAGCACUGUGCAAACACGAAAGUGGACGUAUACGGUGUGACGCCUGCCCGGUGCCGGAAGGUUAAUUGAUGGGGUUAGCGGUAACGCGAAGCUCUUGAUCGAAGCCCCGGUAAACGGCGGCCGUAACUAUAACGGUCCUAAGGUAGCGAAAUUCCUUGUCGGGUAAGUUCCGACCUGCACGAAUGGCGUAAUGAUGGCCAGGCUGUCUCCACCCGAGACUCAGUGAAAUUGAACUCGCUGUGAAGAUGCAGUGUACCCGCGGCAAGACGGAAAGACCCCGUGAACCUUUACUAUAGCUUGACACUGAACAUUGAGCCUUGAUGUGUAGGAUAGGUGGGAGGCUUUGAAGUGUGGACGCCAGUCUGCAUGGAGCCGACCUUGAAAUACCACCCUUUAAUGUUUGAUGUUCUAACGUGGGCCCCUUACCGGGGUUGCGGACAGUGUCUGGUGGGUAGUUUGACUGGGGCGGUCUCCUCCUAAAGAGUAACGGAGGAGCACGAAGGUUGGCUAAUCCUGGUCGGACAUCAGGAGGUUAGUGCAAUGGCAUAAGCCAGCUUGACUGCGAGCGUGACGGCGCGAGCAGGUGCGAAAGCAGGUCAUAGUGAUCCGGUGGUUCUGAAUGGAAGGGCCAUCGCUCAACGGAUAAAAGGUACUCCGGGGAUAACAGGCUGAUACCGCCCAAGAGUUCAUAUCGACGGCGGUGUUUGGCACCUCGAUGUCGGCUCAUCACAUCCUGGGGCUGAAGUAGGUCCCAAGGGUAUGGCUGUUCGCCAUUUAAAGUGGUACGCGAGCUGGGUUUAGAACGUCGUGAGACAGUUCGGUCCCUAUCUGCCGUGGGCGCUGGAGAACUGAGGGGGGCUGCUCCUAGUACGAGAGGACCGGAGUGGACGCAUCACUGGUGUUCGGGUUGUCAUGCCAAUGGCACUGCCCGGUAGCUAAAUGCGGAAGAGAUAAGUGCUGAAAGCAUCUAAGCACGAAACUUGCCCCGAGAUGAGUUCUCCCUGACUCCUUGAGAGUCCUGAAGGAACGUUGAAGACGACGACGUUGAUAGGCCGGGUGUGUAAGCGCAGCGAUGCGUUGAGCUAACCGGUACUAAUGAACCGUGAGGCUUAACCUU
rnacentral:rRNA from 1 species